rnacentral:rRNA from 1 species
AGUGAACGCUGGCGGCAGGCCUAAUACAUGCAAGUCGAACGGCAGCACAGCAGAGCUUGCUCUGUGGGUGGCGAGUGGCGGACGGGUGAGGAAUACAUGGGAAUCUGCCCAGUCGUGGGGGAUAACGUAUGGAAACGUACGCUAAUACCGCAUGCGCCCUACGGGGGAAAGCCGGGGACCGCAAGGCCUGGCGCGAUUGGAUGAGCCCAUGUUCGAUUAGCUAGUUGGCGGGGUAAAGGCCCACCAAGGCGACGAUCGAUAGCUGGUCUGAGAGGAUGAUCAGCCACACUGGAACUGAGACACGGCCCAGACUCCUACGGGAGGCAGCAGUGGGGAAUUUUGGACAAUGGGCGCAAGCCUGAUCCAGCAAUG